rnacentral:rRNA from 1 species
GAAUCUUCCACAAUGGACGAAAGUCUGAUGGAGCAAUGCUGCGUGAGUGAAGAAGGUUUUCGGAGCGUAAAACUCUGUUGUGAGGGAAGAACAAGUAUGAGAGUAACUGCUCGUACCUUGACGGUACCUCAUGAGAAGGCCACGUCUACUUACUUCCCAGCAGCCGCGGUAAUCCGUAGGUGGCAAGCGUUGUCCGGAAUUAUUGGGCGUAAAGCGCGCGCAGGCGGUGCUUUAAGUCUAAUGUGAAAUCCCACGGCUCAACCGUGGAAGGUCAUUGGAAACUGGGGGACUUGAGUACAGAAGAGGAAAGCGGAAUUCCAAGUGUAGCGGUGAAAUGCGUAGAGAUUUGGAGGAACACCAGUGGCGAAGGCGGCUUUCUGGUCUGUAACUGACGCUGAGGCGCGAAAGCGUGGGGAGCAAACA